GCUUACCUUACUUGAACAUGAUCUGUUCUAUAGGCUCGUACCGCUGCAUCCUUUACCAAUAAGGAGGCAAGCACUUCAGUCUGGUUGAUGCAUUCUGACCUCUGGGUCAGAGCGUGAUUAACGGCCAGUAUACCCCUGAUGCGGGCAAUCCAACAGAUGUAGAGGAUCGUUCCUGCCUGGCUCUUGCCUAUGCAGGGUGGCUCAGAGGUUGUCUGACAGACU
rfam:Triticum aestivum genome assembly, contig: Triticum_aestivum_CS42_TGACv1_scaffold_501866_6BL